GAAGAGACGUCGUCGACUAGCUCUGAUCGAUCAGAUGUCGGUUUCUCUCAACCAGACCCCAGCGAUAUUGGAAGUUGUUCUCCACGGGCGGGUCUCAGCGACGAAGCCAGUCAAAACCAAAGGACUAUCUCCGAAGAAGGCGGGUCUGGUAGGCUCAGCCAUUGGCCCUCCUCUUCAGCGAUCGGUAGUGGACGAAAACGAAAACAAGCGAAUACAGGAACAAACGACACCUGCAGGAAAAAGCAAGCCCGUCGUG